UCCGCAACGAGCGCAACCCUUGUCAUUAGUUGCUACCGCAAGGAGCACUCUAAUGAGACUGCCGGUGACAGACCGGAGGAAGGUGGGGAUGACGUCAGGUCCUCAUGGCCCUUAUGGGUAGGGCUACACACGUCAUACAAUGGCCGGUACAGAGGGCUGCCAACCCGCGAGGGGGAGCCAAUCCCAGAAAACCGGUCGUAGUCCGGAUCGUAGUCUGCAACUCGACUGCGUGAAGUCGGAAUCGCUAGUAAUCGCGGAUCAGCUUGCCGCGGUGAAUACGUUCCCGGGUCUU
rnacentral:rRNA from 1 species